rnacentral:rRNA from 1 species
CUGGAGUUACUAGUAAUCGCAGAUCAGAAUGCUGCGGUGAAUGCGUUCCCGGGUCUUGUACACACCGCCCGUCACACCACGGGAGUUGGAGACGCCCGAAGCCGAUUAUCUAACCUUUUGGAAGAAGGCGUCGAAGGUGGAAUCAAUAACUGGGGUGAAGUCGUAACAAGGUAGCCGUAUCGGAAGGUGCGGCUGGAUCACCUCCUUUCUAAGGAGA